GUCCACAUGGUGUAGCGAUUAGCACGCCCGUCUGGCAGAUGGGAGAUUUCAGGUUCGAUUCCUUACAGAGACA
rnacentral:tRNA from 1 species